rnacentral:misc_RNA from 1 species
GAUGAAGAACGCAGCGAAAUGCGAUAAGUAAUGUGAAUUGCAGAAUUCAGUGAAUCAUCGAAUCUUUGAACGCACAUUGCGCCCUCUGGUAUUCCGGGGGGCAUGCCUGUUCGAGCGUCAUUAUAACCACUCAAGCUCUCGCUUGGUAUUGGGGUUCGCGGUUUCGCGGCCCCUAAAAUCAGUGGCGGUGCCUGUCGGCUCUACGCGUAGUAAUACUUCUCGCGAUUGAGUUCGAUAGGUCUACUUGCCAGUAACCCCCAAUUUUUACAGGUUGACCUCGGAUCAGGUAGGGAUACCCGAUGAACUUAAGCAUAUCAAUAAGCGGAGGA